GAGGGUAUAGCUUAGUGGUCAAGUGUGUGCUUAGCAUGCACGACGCCCUGAGUUCAAUCCCCAGUUCCUCCA
rfam:Camelus ferus unplaced genomic scaffold scaffold1891, whole genome shotgun sequence.